CUUCAAACUCCUGCAGCUGGUCAAGCUUCCUCUUCAUACUCGUUGAGUAAUUAGUUGCGAGUAUGUGCAACUCUUUAGUCUCGUGCCUAAGCAUUCUAAUCUCUUGACGAAGACUAACCAUCUCAGCAAUCAAAGACUCAACCUAACGAGAUCGAGCGAGAAGGCGUUGGCCCAUGUUUGAUACUGAGG
rnacentral:pre_miRNA from 1 species